GCGUGCUGAACCGUGGGCGAGUCGUCGAUAACGUGUUGGUAUUCGGGAAAAGAAGCCAAGAAUGCGUUGGAUCGAACAAAUGGUACUGCAACAUUUUACACGGACCAAUGAAGUAACUUUAAAAUGGAUGAAAUAUGAAAAGAAUGCAUAAAUGCGUGGUGGCGAUUCGGAAGGCAUGGAACCAGACAAAAGUGCGACCUCCGUGGGAGCCCGUCUUGUCUCCUUUGCAUCAUGGACGAGAUCCCAGUUCGCAAUAGGUGAACCGACAAUGACGCCUAGGGUUCGAGUGGAAGGCCCCGAUUGCGUCCUCGAGUUCUUUCUUCGUCGUACCGGCAAUCUACAUAAUAGACAUAUCUGCUCGGCAAAUGUGACAAACCAUUUUCGAAGCGAUCCUUUAGCCCCUUAAUGCACAGAUUAAAAAAAAUAAAAUAAAUUAUUUUAAGGAAAAAAAAAACACUAGAACAUUGUCUUGGCA